ACGGAUAUCGCUUUAUAAUAUUGAACAUAUAUUUAAUAUAGCCAACUACGACGUUUUUAAUUGUUACUAUGAGAUAGCGUUGCCGGCGAACCACAAGACGUUUGAGAACGAGAGUGUCGUGCAUGGUAGCCGGCGUGGUGACGUUGCGCAGCGAAGGAUUUGUUUUGGAGAGUGCUUGCUUGGAUUUUCCACGCAAAUAUCCAGGCUUUCUGCAACCUUCUUAAACCAGUGUUUCUCUCUGAACUUAUUGGCAAUCAUGAAGGAAAAGACAAACAAACAAGGUCACCAUGAUCAC